rnacentral:lncRNA from 1 species
UGGGCUUGGAGAUCGCCACCUAGUCGACUGUUGGAUCCUAAGGUGACUUUGAUGAGUCAACCUCCUCUCCGAACUUCGAGGAGGUGCCUGCGACUCUGGUUGAGGUAGUGGCUGCAAAGCCAUAGUUAAGGUAAAAUUCUAUGGGGGUGCCGCUACGAAAGGCACAAGCAGCACCACUAAGAAAACUGUAUGACAUACCACUGUAGGGGGUGCAGGGACAGUCUGAGAAGGCUGUGGCACUGUCUGAAAGGAUGCAAGAAAAGUUUAGAUCACUUGGAUCA